AUGGGGAUUUUUCUUGAGAUGGGGCUUACUUCUGAGAUGGUGGAACAUGUUGUCAUUGAUGAAGCGGGAGGUCUCCGGGCCGCCGUGGCCGUCAUAGACGCCGACGAAGGUGCCCUGCGGGCCGGGGUCGGCCAUGGAGAGCGAGCCGGACUCGACCUGGCUCUGGUCCUCCAGCAGGUUGUUGGCCUGCACCACCGCCAUGGAGAAGUCGCCGGUGGCCGCCUGCCCGGCGUCCUUGUACCACAGCAGCCCGUCCUGGCGGCCGGCGGCGUCGGAGCCCUUCUUGCCCCGCCGCCCGGCCCGGGACCGCGCGCCCCAGCACGACCUGAAGUAGUCCAUCACCGCCGCCAUCACGCCCUCCCCCCGCAGCUCCUCGCCGGCAUCCCCGCCGGCCUCCCUAUCUCCACCGCCUGCCUCUCACCUUUUUUCCCCUCUCUGUGUCCAAGUCCAAGAACUCCCCGCCGGGUUCGUGCUUGGAUUCUUGGAAUCUACUCAGAUCUGGCGCGGGCGGCCACGAGCUUGCGCGCACGAACAGCGAGGAUUGGGCGGACUGGACCGGCGGCCGCGCUCCGGGAUCAAAGAGAAUCAACCAGCCAAGCAAGCAAGGAGCUUGACAAAAAGAAAAGGAAAAAUUCUCCCCCGUUCCUCCUCACCGUAGCUAGCUAG
rnacentral:rRNA from 1 species